rnacentral:rRNA from 1 species
UUCCAGACUCCUACGGGAGGCAGCAGUGAGGAAUAUUGGUCAAUGGGCGAGAGCCUGAACCAGCCAAGUCGCGUGAGGGAAGACGGUCCUAUGGAUUGUAAACCUCUUUUGCCGGGGAGCAAAAAGCGGUACGUGUACCGCAUCGAGAGUACCCGGAGAAAAAGCAUCGGCUAACUCCGUGCCAGCAGCCGCGGUAAUACGGAGGAUGCGAGCGUUAUCCGGAUUUAUUGGGUUUAAAGGGUGCGUAGGCGGUAUUUUAAGUUAGUGGUAAAACGUCGGGGCUUCACCUUGAUUGGCCAUUAAAACUGGAGUACUAGAGUACAGACGAGGUAGGCGGAAUAAGUUAAGUAGCGGUGAAAUGCUUAGAUAUAACUUAGAACCCCGAUAGCGAAGGCAGCUUACCAGACUGUUACUGACGCUGAAGCACGAGAGCGUGGGUAGCGAACAGGAUUAGAUACCCUGGUA